rnacentral:rRNA from 1 species
CGGAACGUGCCCAAUCGUGGGGGAUAGCUCGGCGAAAGCCGGAUUAAUACCGCAUACGAUCUACGGAUGAAAGCAGGGGAUCGCAAGACCUUGCGCGAAUGGAGCGGCCGAUGGCAGAUUAGGUAGUUGGUGGGGUAAAGGCUCACCAAGCCGACGAUCUGUAGCUGGUCUGAGAGGACGACCAGCCACACUGGGACUGAGACACGGCCCAGACUCCUACGGGAGGCAGCAGUGGGGAAUUUUGGACAAUGGGCGCAAGCCUGAUCCAGCAAUGCCGCGUGCAGGAUGAAGGCCUUCGGGUUGUAAACUGCUUUUGUACGGAACGAAAAAGCUCUGGUUAAUACCUGGGGCUCAUGACGGUACCGUAAGAAUAAGCACCGGCUAACUACGUGCCAGCAGCCGCGGUAAUACGUAGGGUGCGAGCGUUAAUCGGAAUUACUGGGCGUAAAGCGUGCGCAGGCGGUGAUGUAAGACAGUUGUGAAAUCCCCGGGCUCAACCUGGGAACUGCAUCUGUGACUGCAUCGCUGGAGUGCGGCAGAGGGGGAUGGAAUUCCGCGU